CCUCUCCAAGCAUGCCAAAUUAAUCACACUUCUUAAACACAUCUCUUGACCGGGGUGUUCUCACCAUGCCCUUUCUACAAACAAAAAGUCCUACAAGAGUUGGAGCCAUCCUCUCCUCAUCUUCUACUUUCUGCCUUCUUCUGGGACACGCUAUUGAUCACGAAGUAUCUUAUCCUUGAAAAAUCUCCUCUCUUCAACUCGAGUACUACUGCAGAAAGCAGCAACUUGGCGGCCUUUUAUGGAUGGGUGUUACUGAAGAAGGCAAUGUAUCGCAUCCUGUAUUACCUUCCCCUGACCUCAUAGCUUCCCAAAACAGGAACAAUCAUGGGCUUUGAAGAAUGAAGAUGUGGAGACCUGGAGACAGGUGGCACCUCGUGCUUCCUCCGAAGGGAGAGCCCAUUUCCUAACAGCUGGAUCAAAGGCAUGAAAUGAACAUGGAGUCCCUGAAGAUGAAGAGAAGGCAUGGCUUCCAGGGAGAAAUUGUACAUUACAGGAAUGCAGAUGUGAUUCCUAUGGAUGAGGGUAACCUAGAGGCUAGAAGAACAAUAGGACAGAAGAAGCCUGGGUCCCUGAACAACCUUGUGGAGCAUAGACACCUACGUGGCCUGGACUGCCAGCUCACAAUGGGCCUCUCUGUGAGAGAAGGAAACUUCCCUCUUGUUUAAGCAACUGUGCUUUUGAGAAUCUCUUGGUCUAUACCCUAAUGAAUAAGGCCAUCAUAAAUGGAUAUCAAAGUAAGGAAAUUUGUGUAAAUGAUUUAAUAAAACAUUACCUCAGGUAUGAAAUAAUUCUACCUUGUGCCUUGACAACAUCAGGUAUUAUUCAUGCCCUUUUCUCUCCCUGUAAUGUCUCUUAUCCACGGGUAGAAAUUAUAUUUUCCAUCUAAGGUUUGCUCAAAUAUUAUCUACUUAAGUAGCUCUUACCAAUUUUGCCUCUCCUCCUGAGCUGACCCUAUGCCUUCUAUGCUGUUCCAGGUAAUAUUAAUCUCUUCCUUUGUACUUCUUUCACAGAACAUACUUUUUUGUCUAACAUAAUAACUAUAGGCAUAAGUGUAUAGAUUCCACUAGGGGCUUCAGAACAGAAACUAUCAUCUUAUUAAUUUUUUUCUCCCUGAUAUCUAGGGAAAUAUGUUAUAUAUAAUAGGCCCUUAGUAAUCCCAUAAAUGUUUGUGAGAUAUUCACUGACUAUAAGCCAUACUCUGUAUUUAUUUAGCUAAAACAGACGUCUUUCAUAUUUAGUUAGCAGAAAAUGCUCACAUUUACUCCUUUCCUGUUUACCAAAUGAAAGGGUAAUUGUUUUUUCACAGAUUGCACUAGAAAAGUGUCUUCUCUCUCUUUUUCAAAUAGAUUGUCUUUAAAACAUAUGACAGGAAAAGUGACUAUUGUUAGGAUAAGAUAAUUACGAUUGUAACAGCUAGUUUAAAAGAAGUGUCAGUUGCUCCUGUUUUAUUUUUCACAGGAUAGAGCUGCGGCCUGUCUCAGUAUGAUGUUUUCAGGAUCUGGUAUAUAUUUUUAUUUUCCUACAUGAAUCUUUCAUCCUUUUACUGACAUUUAUUCAUUUUAUCUAAUUAUCCUAAAAGGAAAGCUCUGGCCAGGCAAAUUGGUUGUUGUCUGCCUCUGAAGAGACAUUCAUAUCGCGUCGCUUAGCUUUCAAGUUUUGUGAUCAGGAACCCUCAGGCCCAUUUUUAAGGAGGUUUCAGGCUAGCUGAGCUUCACUGUCUCCCAAAAUGUACAAAAUGAGAUUACAUGAGGGACAAGAUCAAUUUACUGGAAGGUACUUAAGCAGUAAAUCUGGAGCUUUUUGUCCAGUCACUAUUGCUUUCAAGCUUUGUAGCAGAAAAUUAAGCCACAAGAGCUUUGACAAAUUAGAUAUUACUACCUCUAAUUGUGUAUGUUUAAGCUUAUCACACUGAAUUGCAGCAUUGUAACUGACUAUUAUGCCAACAAGGCCUUCGUUUAAUCAGCGCAGUGCCAUUUAAUCGCAAUUAAUCACUCAACUAAAAUGUCAUAUUAAGGUCACAGAAACUUGAAGGGCUAAAAGAAAAGAGAACAUUAAAGUCAGCUGAUGGAGGAAAAGAGCAUGGUGUGCCAAGGGAAGUUCUGAGCACUCUUUUUCAUUAGAAGCUGGUAGAACAUUUAAUGAGAAUUCAGUCUUAACUUUCAGCUGAGAUCAGAACAACGUGCC
rnacentral:lncRNA from 10 species